CGGUAUUGUGUGUAAAAAACUAUAAUGAUCCACUUACAAGCUAAAACUACAUGUGUCCCAACAACUUCUGAAAGUGAUUGUCUGGGCCCCAUAUGCCAUAACAUCAUUGUACAUCUCCAAAGUACAGGGAAUAGAAUGCUCUGCGAACGAAGUAUUUCAGCUCCAUUUCGUUCACAGAACAUCUAAUGACAUUACAGAACAAUUAAGUUUCAUUAAAAUUCUCAAAGUUAAUAAUUAACAGAAUAUGAAUAUAUUUUGUUAUGUCAUAUUGCAUUCUAAAUCACAAAGGUUUUAUACGUUGUUUGUUUCUACAAAUUUUGGCAAAGCACUAGUAGGUUAUUUGAGAGGUUAUAGUCCGUCAAUAAAGAUAGGUAUCGCAAAUGUUUUACGCUAGAUAUGUCACACAUACUGUUAAUUUAUAGCAUAGUAAUAUAACAUCCGGUUACUUUCGCUUGCGGGUAAGGGCUGAGUCAACUGCUAAUUCGGGUACUUCGAAGGAAAAGAACGUUUGAUUUUUACCACCAACAGUGAAUGUGACAUUUCACAUCUUUCUAGAGCAGAAUUUGCAGCUAUAAUUGUCGACGCAUGGGUACGAAGGAGCACUCAGUGGGUGGGAAUUUCGGAGGCUAAUGGAAAGGGCGGUAUCAUAUAGUAUAUAUGGUCACUUCCACAUGGCUAAAAAAUUGUCCGCAAGAUCAAGUUGGCGAGCUAUCGCAAAGCUCGAGAAGAGUAAAUUCGGCAUUUAAUUGAACUCAGUCAGACAAUCCCAAAAAUUACCAUUCAGUGUAUUCGUACGUGGUAAAGAAUGACCCGGACUUCGUGAUUUCUCCAGGGCUUAUAGACCCCCCUAAUGCUGACGCGUUAGCAAGUACUAGCGCGCGCGACACGUCGAAGCAAUAAAGUUGCACAGGCUUGCAAAAAAUAUGUGACGAAAGGGACUCGCUGUAUACGGCGUUGUACGCAUUAUACGACACAAAGUUAGUGUUAUACGCUAAUUAUGCUAAUAAGCG